rnacentral:misc_RNA from 1 species
CUUCCUUUCCCUGUUUUCGCCUUCUUCCUCUUAUUUUUGUUGGAUUUCUUGUUCACACUUUUCUUCUUCAUUUCUUUCCUUGCCUUUUCAUUUUCAUUCACUUCUUUGUCUUCUUCAAUUUGGGACUCUGAUUCUUUGCAUUUCAUUUCUUUCUUCCUUUGAAGAAAUCCAACAAUUCCAUUAAGCGCAGAAUCAACAUCAUCAUCAACUUUCAUGAGCUCCUCUGCAACUUCAGCUGGAGUCACUUCCACUUCCUCUAUCAGUUUUUCAAUGUGUGUGAAAAGGCAAUGACUCUUGACCUUCAGGUAGUUAGAAGCAAGAAUCUCGAAUCCACUUGGAGUGCAAUAGGACAUGUGUAUGUGCAUGUCCAUUCGGCCUGGUCUCAGCAGCGCAGGAUCUAGUUUGUCUUUGUAGUUGGUGGUGAACACGAUUAUCCUCUCAUCUCCACAGCUUGACCAUAAGCCAUCAAUGAAGUUGAGCAAUCCAGAUAGUGUCAACUGCAACAAGAGGUAACAAUUAGUUGAUUAUCGAGCAUCAAAACGCUUGAUGCUUUCUUUAAUUGAGACUUGUCAUCAAUUGUCACAUAUUUUACAUCACAUUACUAACUGUUUCUGUUCUUUUAAUCGAGUAAGCGAUGGAAGUCUUUGUGAAAGAGACUACCUGUUAAAUUUGAUGCGUAAAGAGUGGACUUUGGGAUACUUCAUAUAAUUUUUUUAGUAUACAAAAUAAGGUACUAUGAGCUCACCUGGCUAUCACCAUGGUUAUAUCCUCCAUAUUGGCGGUCCUGCAACUCAGCGCUACAAUCAAUAUCCUCAAUUACAAGUAUUGAUCGAUUCGCUGUUGAGGUUAGCAAUCCCCUUAGGUCGGAAUUGCUGUGCAAACUUGUAAGUUCGAGGUCGUAGAUGUCAAAUUUCAGGUGGUUAGCCAUGGCUGCAAUCAAGCUUGACUUUCCUGUACCAGGAGGACCAUACAACAAGUACCCACGUUUCCAUGGUUUUCCUAUUCUCUUGUAGAAAUCCCUUCUCUUAACAAAUCUAUCCAAGUCAUCCAUCAGCUCCUGCUUGAGUAUUGGAUCCAUUGCCAAUGUAUCAAAAGUGGAUGGAUGGUCGAGGUUAAUUGAUCCCCAAGGACCUCCACUGAAGUCUCCAUUGAAAGUUCCAAGUGAAUGGAGCUUGACUACCUUGUUUUCUUCCUUUAUGGCUUUUGAUCUUUCUAAUACAUAUGGCAGGUAAGUCUUCAAAACCUUCUCCUGAUAUCGCUUGUCGAAACUCAGCACAACUGAUCUAUGUUCUGAUUUUUCCGUGGAUAGAGAGGAGGUUUCGUAAUCAACAACUGUGUUUUGUGUUUCAGAGCAGACAAAUUCCCAUAUUAGUUGGAUUCCUUCGAAUAAAUCUAUAAUCUCCUGGCCUUUGUUGAUGGUAACUGAGAGGUUCUUCUCUUUUGCAGCUUUAGAAACCUUAAGCUCGUCUAUAGAUGGGGUGAUUCUUGCACUUAAGUAGACUUCAGAAGCUUGGUAGAUUUCGUUAAUGGUGAGACCAUUAUACUCAUUGAUGAUGAGGGUCAAUUGGCAAGAAUUUCUGAAAAGGCUUCCGAGGCUAGACAAUAUUUUCUCUUGGAGCUUCUGAGGUAUUAGCUGGCUGGUUAUGGAUUGUGCCUCAUUGAGCAUGGUCCUGAUAAGCAUUGCCGAUGCAGCGAAAGCAGUGUAGGUUGAUAAAAUUGAUGCUGUUGAAGGCAUGCUUGGCAUAGCAAACAUGUUUGACAUGAAAGAUGUGUAUGGAAAUGAAUAUAGAUUUGUUCUUGGAAAGGGUGAAGAUUUCUUUGUAUGGUUUGCCCGGUGAGUUGCAUUGAUGCGGUAGAAAUGCGCUUUUAUAGCGCAAACAAAAAUGAACCAACGACCAAAGCUUCUUCUUCAAUCUUCUGACAAGUAUAUGCAAUUUUCUGAAGAGUCUCUUGGAAGGUGUACAAGGUCAACACUGAAUGGACAAUCUUCCUGAGCAAUUCUUAAAAUGG